CCGGACCAGGCUUCAUCCCCU
rnacentral:miRNA from 1 species